rnacentral:rRNA from 1 species
UACGGAGGGUGCAAGCGUUAUCCGGAUUUACUGGGUUUAAAGGGUGCGUAGGUGGAUAAUUAAGUUCAGUGGUGAAAUCUUCAGGCUUAACCUGGAAACUGCCAUUGAUACUAUUUGUCUUGAAUACUUUGGAGGUAAGCGGAAUAUGUCAUGUAGCGGUGAAAUGCUUAGAUAUGACAUAGAACACCAAUUGCGAAGGCAGCUUACUACACAGUAAUUGACACUGAGGCACGAAAAGCGUGGGGGAUCAAAACAGG